rnacentral:misc_RNA from 1 species
UACGGAGGGUGCAAGCGUUAAUCGGAAUUACUGGGCGUAAAGCGCGCGUAGGUGGCUUGAUAAGCCGGUCGUGAAAGCGCCGGGCUCAACCUGGGAACGGCAGCCGGAAAUGGCAAGCUAGAGUGCAGGAGAGGAAGGUAGAAUUCCCGGUGUAGCGGUGAAAUGCGUAGAGAUCGGGAGGAAUACCAGUGGCGAAGGCGGCCUUCUGGACUUACACUGACACUGAGGUGCGAAAGCGUGGGUAGCAAACAGG